UUGCUGGAUGCUGACGAGCGGCGGACGGGUGAGUAAUGCAUAGGAAUCUGCCCGAUAGUGGGGGAUAACCUGGGGAAACCCAGGCUAAUACCGCAUACGUCCUACGGGAGAAAGGGGGCUCCGGCUCCCGCUAUGGGAUGAGCCUAUGUCGGAUUAGCUAGUUGGUGAGGUAACGGCUCACCAAGGCCACGAUCCGUAGCUGGUCUGAGAGGAUGAUCAGCCACAUCGGGACUGAGACACGGCCCGAACUCCUACGGGAGGCAGCAGUGGGGAAUAUUGGACAAUGGGGGCAACCCUGAUCCAGCCAUGCCGCGUGUGUGAAGAAGGCCCUCGGGUUGUAAAGCACUUUCAGCGAGGAAGAACGCCUAACGGUUAAUACCCGCUAGGAAAGACAUCACUCGCAGAAGAAGCACCGGCUAACUCCGUGCCAGCAGCCGCGGUAAUACGGAGGGUGCAAGCGUUAAUCGGAAUUACUGGGCGUAAAGCGCGCGUAGGUGGCUUGAUAAGCCGGUUGUGAAAGCCCCGGGCUCAACCUGGGAACGGCAUCCGGAACUGUCAAGCUAGAGUGCAGGAGAGGAAGGUAGAAUUCCCGGUGUAGCGGUGAAAUGCGUAGAGAUCGGGAGGAAUACCAGUGGCGAAGGCGGCCUUCUGGACUGACACUGACACUGAGGUGCGAAAGCGUGGGUAGCAAACAGGAUUAGAUACCCUGGUAGUCCACGCCGUAAACGAUGUCGACCAGCCGUUGGGUGCCUAGCGCA
rnacentral:rRNA from 1 species